rnacentral:rRNA from 1 species
UACGAAGGGGGCUAGCGUUGCUCGGAAUCACUGGGCGUAAAGCGCACGUAGGCGGCUUUUUAAGCCAGGGGUGAAAUCCUGGAGCUCAACUCCAGAACUGCCUUUGAUACUGAGAGCUUGAGUCCGGGAGAGGUGAGUGGAACUGCGAGUGUAGAGGUGAAAUUCGUAGAUAUUCGCAAGAACACCAGUGGCGAAGGCGGCUCACUGGCCCGGUACUGACGCUGAGACGCGAAAGCGUGGGGAGCGAACAGG